rnacentral:rRNA from 1 species
AGAACGAACGCUGGCGGCAGGCCUCAAACAUGCAAGUCUAGGGGGUGCAGCAAUGCAUCACCGGCGGACGGGUGCGUAACACGUGGGAAUAUACCUUUUGGUUCGGAACAACGCAGGGAAACUUGCGCUAAUACCGAAUGUGCCCUUACGGGGAAAGAUUUAUCGCCAAAGGAUUAGCCCGCGUCCGAUUAGCUAGUUGGUGAGGUAAUGGCUCACCAAGGCUCCGAUCGGUAGCUGUUCUGAGAGGAAGAUCAGCCACACUGGGACUGAGACACGGCCCAGACUCCUACGGGAGGCAGCAGUUGGGAAUCUUGGACAAUGGGGGAAACCCUGAUCCAGCCAUGCCGCGUGAGUGAUGAAGGCCUUCGGGUUGUAAAACUCUUUCGACGGGGACGGUAAUGACGGUACCCGUAGAAGAAGCUCCGGCUAACUUCGCGCCAGCAGCCGC